UGCGCAGGCGGUUGGUUAAGUCUGACGUGAAAGCCCCGGGCUCAACUUGGGAAUGGCAUUGGAAACUGGCUGGCUAGAGUGUGGCAGAGGGGGUGGAAUUCCGCGUGUAGCAGUGAAAUGCGUAGAGAUGCGGAGGAACACCGAUGGCGAAGGCAGCCCCCUGGGCUGACACUGACGCUCAGGCACGAAAGCGUGGGGAGCAAACA
rnacentral:rRNA from 1 species